rnacentral:rRNA from 1 species
UACGAGUGCCCUAAGCGUUAUCCGGAUUCAUUGGGUUUAAAGGGUGCGUAGGCGGAAUAAUAAGUCAGUGGUGAAAGCCUGCGGCUUAACCGUAGAAUUGCCAUUGAUACUGUUAUUCUUGAGUAUAGUUGAGGUGGGCGGAAUGUGUAAUGUAGCGGUGAAAUGCUUAGAUAUUACACAGAACACCAAUUGCGAAGGCAGCUCACUAAGCUGUUACUGACGCUGAGGCACGAAAGCGUGGGGAGCAAACAGG